rnacentral:rRNA from 1 species
UAGGGAAUCUUCCACAAUGGACGAAAGUCUGAUGGAGCAACGCCGCGUGAGUGAUGAAGGGUUUCGGCUCGUAAAACUCUGUUGUUGGAGAAGAACGGGUGUCAGAGUAACUGUUGACAUCGUGACGGUAUCCAACCAGAAAGCCACGGCUAACUACGUGCCAGCAGCCGCGGUAAUACGUAGGUGGCAAGCGUUGUCCGGAUUUAUUGGGCGUAAAGCGAGCGCAGGCGGUUUUUUAGGUCUGAUGUGAAAGCCUUCGGCUUAACCGGAGAAGUGCAUCGGAAACCGGGAGACUUGAGUGCAGAAGAGGACAGUGGAGCUCCAUGUGUAGCGGUGAAAUGCGUAGAUAUAUGGAAGAACACCAGUGGCGAAGGCGGCUGUCUGGUCUGCAACUGACGCUGAGGCUCGAAAGCAUGGGUAGCGAACAGGAUUAGAUACCCUGGUGGUCCAUGCCGUAAACGAUGAGUGCUAAGUGUUGGAGGGUUUCCGCCCUUCAGUGCUGCAGCUAACGCAUUAAGCACUCCGCCUGGGGGAGUACGACCGCAAGGUUGAAAC